GGAUUAGAUACCCUGGUAGUCCACGCCGUAAACGAUGUCUACUAGUUGUUGGGGAACUUGAUUCCUUAGUAACGAAGCUAACGCGAUAAGUAGACCGCCUGGGGAGUACGGCCGCAAGGUUAAAACUCAAAUGAAUUGACGGGGGCCCGCACAAGCGGUGGAGCAUGUGGUUUAAUUCGAAGCAACGCGAAGAACCUUACCUACUCUUGACAUCCUAGGAAUCCCGAAGAGAUUUGGGAGUGCCAUUGGAGCCUAGUGACAGGUGCUGCAUGGCUGUCGUCAGCUCGUGUCG
rnacentral:rRNA from 1 species